rnacentral:rRNA from 1 species
UGACUGCUUCGACCUGAACUCAGACGUGAGUACCCGCUGAACUUAAGCAUAUCAGUAAGCGGAGUACGGCCCCCCCCCC